UGCCGCGUGAGUGACGAAGGCCUUAGGGUCGUAAAGCUCUUUCGCCAGAGAUGAUAAUGACAGUAUCUGGUAAAGAAACCCCGGCUAACUCCGUGCCAGCAGCCGCGGUAAUACGGAGGGGGUUAGCGUUGUUCGGAAUUACUGGGCGUAAAGCGUACGUAGGCGGAUUGGAAAGUAGGGGGUGAAAUCCCGGGGCUCAACCCCGGAACUGCCUCCUAAACUAUCAGUCUAGAGUUCGAGAGAGGUGAGUGGAAUUCCAAGUGUAGAGGUGAAAUUCGUAGAUAUUUGGAGGAACACCAGUGGCGAAGGCGGCUCACUGGCUCGAUACUGACGCUGAGGUACGAAAGUGUGGGGAGCAAACAGGAUUAGAUACCCUGGUAGUCCACUGCUGCCUCCC
rnacentral:rRNA from 1 species